rnacentral:rRNA from 1 species
AGCGAACGCUGGCGGCAGGCUUAACACAUGCAAGUCGAGCGGGCAUCCUUGUGGUGUCAGCGGCAGACGGGUGAGUAACGCGUGGGAACGUGCCCUUCGGUUCGGAAUAACCCAGGGAAACUUGAGCUAAUACCGGAUACGUGCGAGAGCAGAAAGGUUUAUCUGCCGAAGGAUCGGCCCGCGUCUGAUUAGCUAGUUGGUGAGGUUACGGCUCACCAAGGCGACGAUCAGUAGCUGGUCUGAGAGGAUGAUCAGCCACACUGGGACUGAGACACGGCCCAGACUCCUACGGGAGGCAGCAGUGGGGAAUAUUGGACAAUGGGGGCAACCCUGAUCCAGCCAUGCCGCGUGAGUGAUGACGGCCUUAGGGUUGUAAAGCUCUUUUCUCCGGGACGAUAAUGACGGUACCGGAGGAAUAAGCCCCGGCUAACUUCGUG